AGUGAACGCUGGCGGUAGGCCUAACACAUGCAAGUCGAACGGCAGCACAGUAAGAGCUUGCUCUUACGGGUGGCGAGUGGCGGACGGGUGAGGAAUACAUCGGAAUCUACUUUUUCGUGGGGGAUAACGUAGGGAAACUUACGCUAAUACCGCAUACGACCUACGGGUGAAAGCAGGGGAUCUUCGGACCUUGCGCGAUUGAAUGAGCCGAUGUCGGAUUAGCUAGUUGGCGGGGUAAAGGCCCACCAAGGCGACGAUCCGUAGAUGGUCUGAGAGGAUGAUCAGCCACACUGGAACUGAGACACGGUCCAGACUCCUACGGGAGGCAGCAGUGGGGAAUAUUAGACAAUGGGCGCAAGCCUGAUCCAGCCAUACCGCGUGGGUGAAGAAGGCCUUCGGGUUGUAAAGCCCUUUUGUUGGGAAAGAAAAGCAGCAGGUUAAUACCCCGCUGUUCUGACGGUACCCAAAGAAUAAGCACCGGCUAACUUCGUG
rnacentral:rRNA from 1 species